CCUCCUUUUCUUGGCAGGACUGGGUGGCUUGGUACCCAGCUCUGUUAUGUCCGGAGGUAAAUUAAACACCGCCCAGCAUUCUGUCUUCGGUGCCAGUGGCUUUUCCAUCCACUGGUUCUAUCCUCAAGUGCUGGGACAAAG